AUGCCUCCUGAGGCCCUUGAGAUAACCCGCAAGUUCAUGAACAAGCCUGUGAGGAUUCUUGUCAAGAGAGAUGAGCUUACCCUUGAGGGUAUCAAGCAAUUCUAUGUCAACGUGGAGAAGGAAGAGUGGAAGCUGGAUACACUCUGUGACCUGUACGAGACCUUGGCAAUUACCCAGAGUGUCAUCUUUGUGAACACCCGCCGCAAGGUGGACUGGCUCAGCGACAAGAUGAGGGGAAGGGAUCACAUUGUCUCUGCCACGCACGGAGACAUGGACCAGAACACUAGGGACAUCAUCAUGAGGGAGUUCAGAUCUGGAUCUUCUCGUGUGCUCAUCACCACCGACCUGCUGGCCCGUGGUAUUGAUGUGCAGCAAGUCUCCCUUGUCAUCAACUAUGACCUGCCGAUUCAGCCUGAGAACUACCUCCAUCGCAUUGGUCGUAGUGGUCGGUUUGGGAGGAAGGGAGUUGCCAUCAACUUUGUCACCCGUGAAGAUGAGAGGAUGUUGUUUGACAUCCAGAAGUUCUACAACGUGGUCAUUGAGGAGCUCCCGGCCAAUGUCGCUGACCUUCUCUAG
rnacentral:rRNA from 1 species